GGUUGACGUUCCGACUAGAAGAUGCCCAUCGUUCGGAUGGGAUGAAUGUUUUGUUAGAUGCUAUCACAUUUUCAGGAGCGUAAGGAAAGCGUGUCAAUAUUUGAAAACAAAGUUAAGUACGCACACAAAAUGUGACUGAUCUUUGAGUCCACCUAUGGAUCCAGGUGUUCAGGAUUUCUAUGCCUGUUACAGACAAUAUACCCUAUUGUUCUCAACGUUUACCAGUAUGCCACCGGCAGCAGUCCCAGCGCCAGAUCAAACCAAGGCAAACCCCACCCAGGAGAGAGCGAGAGCGAGAGAGAGAGGCCGCCGCCCAGCCGCAAAUACAAUCUGAACAAAUCAAUAAAAGGCCGCACAAAAAUGACAAAACGCGAGCAGGUCCCAAAGAAGAGACGCGCAGAACAAACACAAAAACAAAAACAAAAAAA